rnacentral:lncRNA from 1 species
AUGGCCUCGGCCGGUCUCCAGCUCCUGGCUUUCAUCCUGGCUGUGUCUGGGGUCUCUGGAGUACUUGCUGCCACUCUGCUGCCAAACUGGAAGGUUAAUGCAGAUGCAGGCUCCACCAUUGUAACUGCUAUUGUACAGGUACAUGGGUUGUGGAUGGACUGCACGUGGUACAGCACUGGGAUGUUUAGCUGCACUCUGAAAUACUCCAUUCUGUCGCUCCCCGUCUAUGUGCAGGCUGCGAGGGCUACCAUGGUCCUGGCCUGCAUUCUGUCUGCCUUGGGGAUUUGUACUGCGAUAGUAGGAAUGAAAUGCACUCACUUAGGAGGAGACGCACACACCAAGAGUCACAUUUCCUUUGCUGGAGGAGUCUGCUUCAUCACCGCAGGGAUCUCUGCUUUAAUCCCAACAGUGUGGUACACCAAAGAGAUCAUAUCCAACUUUUUGGAUCUGACUGUUCCAGAAAGCCACAAAUAUGAACCUGGAGGAGCCGUGUACAUUGGGUUCAUUUCAGCGAUGUUACUACUUAUCGCUGGUAUUAUUUUCUGCAUUUCUUAUAUAAAAAAGAACCAAGAACCAUGGAUCUACCCUCCCAAGCAGAGACUUACCUCUACCUGGCAGCCAAAGAACAGGUUAGCAUACAACCUGAAGGAUUAUGUGUAAAGAGCCAUGUAAUGAACACGUAGUGAGGCUUCUGAGCCUGCUCAAACUUUAUUAGAAUGGAUAAAACCACUCUUAUGCUUAAUUUCCUUUAUAAGAAUUUAAGUAAAAAAAAGCGAGGUACUUUAAAAUGCCAACAAAUGAUCACAUACGAUUAUAUCUGUUUUGCCUUU